CGGUGAGUGAACCGGAGUUUUCCGUUUAUCCACAGAACAAGUUCUGUGCUUCCGGCCGCCGGGCAGGCCUGCCCCCAGUGCCCUGCCAGCGCGUUUACGCCCUGACCCGGAGGCACCACGCUAAGGGUGAGAAUGCCAUUUGGUCUCCGUGCCAUCCCAUGCUCGU
rnacentral:sRNA from 1 species